rnacentral:rRNA from 1 species
CUAGUUGGUAAGGUAAAAGCUUACCAAGGCAACGAUCAAUAGCUGUUCUUAGAGGAAGACCAGCCACAUUGGGACUGAGAUACGGUCCAGACUCCUACGGGAGGCAGCAGUAGGGAAUUUUGCACAAUGGGCGAAAGCCUGAUGCAGCAACGCCGCGUGAACGAUGAAGUUUUUAGGAAUGUAAAGUUCUGUCGUAUGGGAAGAGAUCUUUCGAAUGUUAAUACCAUUCGUUAAUGACGGUACCAUACAAGAAAGCACCGGCUAACUUCGUGCCAGCAGCCGCGGUAAUACGAGGGGUGCUAGCGUAGUCCGGAUUUACUGGGCGUAAAGGGUACGUAGGCGUUUUAAUAAGUUGUAUGUGAAAUAUCUUAGCUUAACUAAGAAAAUGCAUCCAAAACUGUUAACAUAGAGUUCGAGAGAGGAACGCAGACAUCAUGGUGGAACGGAGACAUGCGUAGAUAUCAG